GACGAACGCUGGCGGCGUGCCUAACACAUGCAAGUCGAACGAAGUGGCGAACGGGUGAGUAACGCGUAAUCAACCUGCCCUUCAGCGGGGGACAACAGGUGGAAACGACGGCUAAUACCGCAUACUGAAGGAGGGGAUGGCGUCUGAUUGGCUAGUUGGAGGGGUAACGGCCCACCAAGGCGAAGAUCAGUAGGCGGGCUGAGAGGGUGAACGGCCACAUGGGGACUGGAGACCGGCCCAGACUCCUACGGGGGGCAGCAGUGGGGAAACUUCCGGCAUGGACGGAAGUCUGACGGGGGAACGCCGCGUGGGGUGAGACGGCCUUCGGGUUGUAAAGCUCUGUUAAUCGGGACGCGGUACCGGAAUAGAAAGCCACGGCUAACUACGUGCCAGCAGCCGCGGUAAUAC
rnacentral:rRNA from 1 species